rnacentral:ncRNA from 2 species
CUUUGCACACGCGGGAGCUCGGAGCACCGGGCUGAGAGGGCGCUGACCUCCGUCUUAGCGAUGUUUCACGUGGAACGAGUGAUGUUUCACAAGGGACGUCGGCAGACGGAAUCCGCUGCGUCGACCGCCGAACCUGUUACCGGGUAAUGCCGGCGUAGGGAGUAGGUCUCAUGACCAA